CCUACGGGAGGCAGCAGUGAGGAAUAUUGGUCAAUGGGAGAGAUCCUGAACCAGCCAAGCCGCGUGAGGGAAGACGGCCCUAUGGGUUGUAAGCCUCUUUUGUCGGGGAACAAAACCCGGGACGUGUCCCGGCCUGCGUGUAUCCGACGAAAAAGCAUAGGCUAACUCCGUGCCAGCAGCCGCGGUAAUACGGGGGAUGCGAGCGUUAUCCGGAUUUAUUGGGUUAAAGGGGUGCGUAGGCGGUCCGUUAGGUCAGCGGUAAAAUUGCGGGGCUAAACCCCGUCGAGCCGUUGAAACUGGCAGACUUGAGUGGGCGAGAAGUACGCGGAAUGCGCGGUGUAGCGGUGAAAUGCAUAGAUAUCGCGCAGAACUCCGAUUGCGAAGGCAGCGUACCGGAGCGAGACUGACGCUGAGGCACGAAAGCGUGGGGAUCGAACAGGAUUAGAUACCCCAGUAGUC
rnacentral:rRNA from 1 species